AUUGAACGCUGGCGGCAUGCCUUACACAUGCAAGUCGAACGGCAGCACGGGAGCAAUCCUAGUGGCGAGUGGCGAACGGGUGAGUAAAGUAUCGGAACGUGCCCAGUCGUGGGGGAUAACGUAGCGAAAGUUACGCUAAUACCGCAUACGAUCUAUGGAUGAAAGCGGGGGAUCGCAAGACCUCGCGCGAUUGGAGCGGCCGAUAUCAGAUUAGGUAGUUGGUGAGGUAAAGGCUCACCAAGCCGACGAUCUGUAGCUGGUCUGAGAGGACGACCAGCCACACUGGGACUGAGACACGGCCCAGACUCCUACGGGAGGCAGCAGUGGGGAAUUUUGGACAAUGGGCGAAAGCCUGAUCCAGCCAUGCCGCGUGCAGGAUGAAGGCCUUCGGGUUGUAAACUGCUUUUGUACGGAACGAAAAGGUUUGGCCUAAUAAGCUGAGCUCAUGACGGUACCGUAAGAAUAAGCACCGGCUAACUACGUGCCAGCCGCCGCAGUAA
rnacentral:rRNA from 1 species